AUGGCUGUGUACCUACUGUCCCAACUUUCUGGCACUCAGUCCCCACACUCCACUGGCCCACUACCACCCACCCUGGCACACACACAAACGCGCUCCCUCUCUAACCGCCUUUCGUUUCGUCUGAAAGCCCCUGCAGCCAUUGCCAUAGGACUGGGUGAAUCAUCAUUUAAGUGCCUCAACCACUGGGAGAGCAAUGAAAAGAAAGCAGAGGACAACAGCUGGAGAGCAUGGGAGAUCGCUGGUCAUUUUGUGAGAAAUCAUGGGAAGGAUGGUCUUACAGAUGAGAUAUAACAGCUGCCUUCACUGACAGUCUUCAGAAGUCCAAAGUCGGCAUCCAUUAAACUCUAGCUUCCCCAUCACUUUAUCUUUGGGGCCAUCUCCACCAAGCAGAUGUUGAAGAUUCUCUGGUACAGUGGCCUAUCUUCUGAGCAUAGAAACAGGACAUGUGGUCCGGCAAUGUGUUUCCUUUUCUUUCUGAUUUAUUCCAAGACAGGCCUGAGGAUUUCAAUCCCUGCUCUGACGUCAAUCUGCUGGGUGACCUUGGGCUAAAAUCUGAGUGUCUGUAAAUGGCAAUAGUUAUAAUAUCUGUGUAUAUCAUAUAUCAUAUAGUAUCUACAUAUAUCAUAAUUAUACUGUUAUGAAAACUAAAUAUGAUAUGGUGAAAGUGCUGAGCACAGUGUCUGAUAAACAAACAUACUCAAUUCAUGGUAGCUAUUAUUACUUAUGGUAAUGAUUAACACGUUACAAAAACAUCAGCAUGAAACCACAUUUAGUUCCAAACUUCAGGAAUCACCUUUUGAGAAAAGAAAGAAGAUACAUGAAAUUUGGACUGCUCCAGAAAAUCCUGGAUGUCUUAUCACCAUACCUAAAGGUACUUCUUCCCCUUCAGUUUAAUAAGGCAUCUUAGAAGAAGAGAUGGAAAUAAGACAAAAAUAGGAGGCAAAAGCAACCUUCUCACUGACCCCGUAAUUCCUUAUAGCUGCUGCUAAGCUAUUUAGAGCUCUGUGGAUCUGACUUCUGCUUCCAGCCUCAUCCUUUCUACUCUCUGAAUGUUCCACCUUGAAAUUACAGAAAUAUUUCCAUGAACUAUUUGCCUUCAUGAUCUUACCUAAUACAUCACUGAGAUCUCAAAAUUAUUGCUUAACCGGAACCCUCUGAAAUGAAGAGCAGUCAGUUAUUCUAAUGAAUAUUGUUCAAAAGAAAAACUACCAUGUUACACUUCCAAGCAGUUUUCCCCUGUCUUUUAUCGUCAUUCCUACCCGGGAGGAGGGCGGUGUAAGGGUAUCACUGC
rnacentral:lncRNA from 1 species